AUGCAGUUUAAUAACUGCUUUUGUUCAUUUCAGGUGCUGAAACUUGAGGCUAUCGGAUACAAGCCAAUUUUAUUUAUUGGGAAACAGGACAAAAGUGCUUCAAAUAAGUGGGUGGCAGAUAUUAUCACGCAUCUGCACCCCACUCCUGUCACCAAAGUGUUUUUGGAGAAGAUGCGGAGGGCUUAUGAGUUUAUCUUAACAAAAGCAACCUCCACAGCCCAGCAGCCGGAGAGCGUCCCCGCGUCACCAAGCAACCUGAAACUGUAUUUGUUCUCAAUCUUGUUCCUGUGCCUUGCUCGCUCUCUCCAACCUCUCUCUGUCCUCCUUCCUCUGCUACUUCUACAACUGUUCUUCCCUCACUUUCUUCCCCUCUUCCACCUCCACUGUGGCAGAGGAAAAGAAGGUUAAACACCUUUACCACGUCAAACUCUACCACCCCUGUCUCUCCUCCAUAUCCAUCUGCCUCUUCCAUUUCCAAGCCUUUGAGUCAGGAGGUGCCACUGGUAAAGAACAGAAGAAAAGGUAACUUUUUGCAUGGUACAACUUACUCCACACUAUUAAUAAAAUUGCUCCCAGUCAAAGCUGACUUCAUCAUUGAUAGCCAGUUCACAGUAUUUUGUUAUUUACAUAUUUAUUUAGCUCUGUGUUAGUGGCCAAUGUCCAAGGGCGUUGGGAAACCAAUCCUGUACAUUUUGCUUGAUUGACAAAAACAGGAACAAAUUCACUUUGACACGAAUGGAAAAGACUGCAUAUCUCCUCACAUGUGAAUUUAUAAAUAUGGGCUUGUGUGAUUCAGCUAUAAAGCAUGAUGGCAUUCGUGGCUUAAAAAACUUGUCUUUUCAUUAUUUCAGGUUGUCAAAAAUGUAGUAGGCAGAAGGUUUUCCUUUUUGAUAAAAUAACUGGGGAACGAAUAAAUGAGGUAAAAUGUCUUAUUAGGCCAUGUGCUGGCCUUUCAAAGGUAAUAUCCAGUGAUUGCUUAAACAGUUAAAGUUAAAUUAUUACUUGUGUUUGUUUGUGUUUGUGUAGGGGAAAGCUGAAUUGAAAGUUCACUGGUUGCCUUGCACUGUGUGGUAAGUCAUGUUUUAUUUCCUAGUUAAUUCCAUUUCAAUGCAAUGGAUUAGUCCAUUCCAUGACCCAAUACAAUCAAACACACCUGAACAAGAUCAUCAAGGUCUGAAAGGUUGCUAGAAAGCUACAGGCAGGUGAGUUUUUAUGAGGGUUGGAGCUAAACUCUGCAGGACUGAGAGCUACAACAACCAUCAUGUUAACACAGCGCACACAACACCUCUUUAGCACUUUAUUUCUCUCAACAUUAGGACAGGAGAGCUGUCAGUCAAUAAAUGUGAAAAAGUAACUUAGAUUUUUUGGUUAUAAGCUCCCAGAUCUUGGCAGUAAGUAAUCCUCUGAGGUAGCCUGUAGAAAAACUGGUGUGAGGUCGACGGUCAGUACUCUGAUUUAAAUAGCGAUGAGCUAGAGGCAUUGGGAAGAGCUAGAUCUGCAAUCCUGAGGAUCAGACAGAAAAAACAAAUAAAGGGAUUGGUGCGGGUGCCAUUCACAUAAAAAAAGAGUUAUAGUAUGUAAAGUGUGUUUGUGUGUACGCUCUUGUAUACAUGGUUGUAUACAAGGACACAAAUGUGUGUAAGGACAUGGGUAUUACAAUAUAAACAUGGUUUAUGAGGACACACUAAACAGUGUUUUUUUUUUUUUUUUUAUUAAAAAAUGCUGACAGUUUCCUGUGAUGGGUAGGUUUAAGCCAGGCACACACUUAAGGAUUGUAAGGCUUGUUAUGACUGUAAUUUAAUACUUACGACUGAUCAUGCCCAAGUGUGUCAACUCAUAGCCAGUUGCGUUUAGUCAGU
ensembl:lncRNA